GGGGAAUAUUGCGCAAUGGGGGAAACCCUGACGCAGCAACGCCGCGUGAUUGAAGAAGGCCUUCGGGUUGUAAAGAUCUUUAAUUCGGGACGAAAAAAAUGACGGUACCGAAAGAAUAAGCUCCGGCUAACUACGUGCCAGCAGCCGCGGUAAUACGUAGGGAGCAAGCGUUAUCCGGAUUUACUGGGUGUAAAGGGCGCGCAGGCGGGCUUGCAAGUUGGGAGUGAAAUCCCGGGGCUCAACCCCGGAACUGCUUUCAAAACUGUGAGUCUUGAGUGAUGGAGAGGCAGGCGGAAUUCCCAGUGUAGCGGUGGAAUGCGCAGAUAUUUGGAAGAACACCGGUGGCGAAGGCGGCCUUCUGGGCCACGACUGACGCUGAGGCGCGAAAGCUAGGGGAGCGAACA
rnacentral:rRNA from 1 species